UGGCGGACGGGUGAGUAACGACGUGGGUAACCUGCCUCACACUGGGGACGAACAGUUAGAAAUGACUGCUAAUACCGCAUAAGCGCACAGGACCGCAUGGUCCGGUGUGAAAAACUCCGGUGGUGUGAGAUGGACCCGCGUUUGAUUAGCUAGUUGGUGGGGUAACGGCCUACCAAGGCGACGAUCAAUAGCCGACCUGAGAGGGUGACCGGCCACAUUGGGACUGAGACACGGCCCAAACUCCUACGGGAGGCAGCAUG
rnacentral:rRNA from 1 species